rnacentral:rRNA from 1 species
AGAGUUUGAUCAUGGCUCAGGAUGAACGCUAGCGGCAGGCCUAACACAUGCAAGUCGAGGGGCAGCGCGGGUGGCAACACCUGGCGGCGACCGGCGCACGGGUGCGUAACGCGUAUGGAACCUGCCCACCGCAGGGGGAUAGCCCGUCGAAAGGCGGAUCAAUACCCCAUGGUCCCUAUGGCCCGCAUGGGCUAUUGGGUAAAGAUUUAUCGGCGGUGGAUGGCCAUGCGUGCCAUUAGCUGGUUGGUGGGGUAACGGCCCACCAAGGCGAUGAUGGCUAGGGGGUCUGAGAGGAUGGUCCCCCACACUGGUACUGAGACACGGACCAGACUCCUACGGGAGGCAGCAGUGAGGAAUAUUGGUCAAUGGGCGGAAGCCUGAACCAGCCAUGCCGCGUGCAGGAUGACGGCCCUACGGGUUGUAAACUGCUUUUGCGCGGGAAGAAUAACCCCCUCGUGAGGGGGGAUGCCGGUACCGCGCGAAUAAGGAUCGGCUAACUCCGUGCCAGCAGCCGCGGUAAUACGGAGGAUCCGAGCGUUAUCCGGAUUUACUGGGUUUAAAGGGUGCGUAGGCGGGCUCUUAAGUCUGCGGUGAAAGUCGGCGGCUCAACCGUCGGAUUGCCGUGGAUACUGGGGGCCUUGGGUACGGUCGGGGCCGGCGGAAUGCGUGGUGUAGCGGUGAAAUGCUUAGAUAUCACGCGGAACGCCGAUCGCGAAGGCAGCUGGCCAGGCCGUUACCGACGCUGAGGCACGAAAGCGUGGGGAUCAAACAGGAUUAGAUACCCUGGUAGUCCACGCUGUAAACGAUGAUCACUGGGUGCCGGCGACACACCGUCGGUGCCUGAGCGAAAGCAUUAAGUGAUCCACCUGGGGAGUACGAUCGCAAGGUUGAAACUCAAAGGAAUUGACGG